UUGCAUAUCAAUAAGCGGAGGAAAAGAAACUAACAAGGAUUCCCCUAGUAACGGCGAGUGAAGCGGGAAAAGCUCAAAGUGAAAACCGGGGCGCUUAGCGGUGCUUCCGGGUUGUAGCCUAGAGAUGCGUUGUCAGCGUGCGACCUGGGUAUAAAUCUUUUGGAACAAGGUGUCAGAGAGGGUGAGAACUCCGUCUUUGAUCCGGAGAUCGCCGCGUACG
rnacentral:rRNA from 1 species